rnacentral:rRNA from 1 species
AUUGAACGCUGGCGGCAGGCCUAACACAUGCAAGUCGAGCGGAUGAAGGGAGCUUGCUCCUGGAUUCAGCGGCGGACGGGUGAGUAAUGCCUAGGAAUCUGCCUGGUAGUGGGGGAUAACGUCCGGAAACGGGCGCUAAUACCGCAUACGUCCUGAGGGAGAAAGUGGGGGAUCUUCGGACCUCACGCUAUCAGAUGAGCCUAGGUCGGAUUAGCUAGUUGGUGGGGUAAAGGCCUACCAAGGCGACGAUCCGUAACUGGUCUGAGAGGAUGAUCAGUCACAAUGGAACUGAGACACGGUCCAGACUCCUACGGGAGGCAGCAGUGGGGAAUAUUGGACAAUGGGCGAAAGCCUGAUGCAGCCAUGCCGCGUGUGUGAAGAAGGUCUUCGGAUUGUAAAGCACUUUAAGUUGGGAGGAAGGGCAGUAAGUUAAUACCUUGCUGUUUUGACGUUACCAACAGAAGAAGCACCGGCUAACUUCGUG